GAGUUUGAUCCUGGCUCAGGAUGAACGCUAGCGGCAGGCUUAAUACAUGCAAGUCGAGGGGCAGCAGCUUUAUAGCAAUAUAGAGGCUGGCGACCGGCAAACGGGUGCGGAACACGUACACAACCUUCCUUGAAUAGGGGGAUAGCCCAUAGAAAUGUGGAUUAAUACCCCGUAAUAUAGCGGUGUGGCAUCACACUGUUAUUAUAGUUUCGGCGAUUCGAGAUGGGUGUGCGGCUGAUUAGGUAGUUGGCGGGGUAAAGGCCCACCAAGCCUUCGAUCAGUAGCUGAUGUGAGAGCAUGAUCAGCCACACGGGCACUGAGACACGGGCCCGACUCCUACGGGAGGCAGCAGUAAGGAAUAUUGGUCAAUGGACGCAAGUCUGAACCAGCCAUGCCGCGUGAAGGAUGAAGGUCCUCUGGAUUGUAAACUUCUUUUAUAGGGGGCGAAAAAAGGUCUUUCUAGAUCACUUGACAGUACCCUAUGAAUAAGCACCGGCUAACUCCGUGCCAGCAGCCGCGGUAAUACGGAGGGUGCAAGCGUUAUCCGGAUUCACUGGGUUUAAAGGGUGCGUAGGCGGGUAGGUAASUCRAGGUGAAAUCCCUGGAGCUUAACUCC
rnacentral:rRNA from 1 species